rnacentral:sRNA from 1 species
GCUAGGCAUGGUGGCAAUGCCUAUAAUCCCAGCAGCUUGGAAGACUGAGGUAGGAGGAUUGCCAAGUUCAAAGCCAACUUUAGCAACUUAGCGAGAUCCUAUCUCUA